AUUGAACGCUGGCGGUAGGCCUAACACAUGCAAGUCGAGCGGAUGAAGGGAGCUUGCUCCUGGAUUCAGCGGCGGACGGGUGAGUAAUGCCUAGGAAUCUGCCUGGUAGUGGGGGAUAACGUCCGGAAACGGGCGCUAAUACCGCAUACGUCCUGAGGGAGAAAGUGGGGGAUCUUCGGACCUCACGCUAUCAGAUGAGCCUAGGUCGGAUUAGCUAGUUGGUGGGGUAAAGGCCUACCAAGGCGACGACCCGUAACUGGUCUGAGAGGAUGAUCAGUCACACUGGAACUGAGACACGGUCCAGACUCCUACGGGAGGCAGCAGUGGGGAAUAUUGGACAAUGGGCGAAAGCCUGAUCCAGCCAUGCCGCGUGUGUGAAGAAGGUCUUCGGAUUGUAAAGCACUUUAAGUUGGGAGGAAGGGCAGUAAGUUAAUACCUUGCUGUUUUGACGUUACCAACAGAAUAAGCACCGGCUAACUUCGUG
rnacentral:rRNA from 1 species